GGAGAAGUACUCAAGUGGCUAAAGAGGCGCCCCUGCUAAGGGUGUAGUCCGUUUACGCGGUGCGGAGGUUCAAAUCCUCUCUUCUCCGCCA
rnacentral:tRNA from 1 species